AAUGAACGCUGGCGGCAUGCCUUACACAUGCAAGUCGAACGGCAGCACGGGGCAACCUGGUGGCGAGUGGCGAACGGGUGAGUAAUGCAUCGGAACGUACCUUUCAGUGGGGGAUAACGUAGCGAAAGUUACGCUAAUACCGCAUAUUCUGUGAGCAGGAAAGCAGGGGAUCGCAAGACCUUGCGCUGAUUGAGCGGCCGAUGUCAGAUUAGCUAGUUGGUGAGGUAAAGGCUUACCAAGGCGACGAUCUGUAGCGGGUCUGAGAGGAUGAUCCGCCACACUGGAACUGAGACACGGUCCAGACUCCUACGGGAGGCAGCAGUGGGGAAUUUUGGACAAUGGGGGCAACCCUGAUCCAGCCAUGCCGCGUGAGUGAAGAAGGCCUUCGGGUUGUAAAGCUCUUUCGGCCGGGAAGAAAUCGCACGGGCUAAUACCCUGUGUGGAUGACGGUACCGGAAUAAGAAGCACCGGCUAACUACGUGCCAGCAGCCGCAGUAA
rnacentral:rRNA from 1 species